GAUGAACGCUGGCGGCGUGCCUAAUACAUGCAAGUCGAGCGAACAGACGAGGAGCUUGCUCCUCUGACGUUAGCGGCGGACGGGUGAGUAACACGUGGAUAACCUACCUAUAAGACUGGGAUAACUUCGGGAAACCGGAGCUAAUACCGGAUAAUAUAUUGAACCGCAUGGUUCAAUAGUGAAAGACGGUUUUGCUGUCACUUAUAGAUGGAUCCGCGCCGCAUUAGCUAGUUGGUAAGGUAACGACUUACCAAGGCGACGAUGCGUAGCCGACCUGAGAGGGUGGUCGGCCACACUGGAACUGAGACACGGUCCAGACUCCUACGGGAGGCAGCAGUAGGGAAUCUUCCGCAAUGGGCGAAAGCCUGACGGAGCAACGCCGCGUGAGUGAUGAAGGUCUUCGGAUCGUAAAACUCUGUUAUUAGGGAAGAACAAAUGUGUAAGUAACUAUGCACGUCUUGACGGUACCUAAUCAGAAAGCCACGGCUAACUACGUG
rnacentral:rRNA from 1 species